AUUGAACGCUGGCGGAAUGCUUUACACAUGCAAGUCGAACGGCAGCACGGACUUCGGUCUGGUGGCGAGUGGCGAACGGGUGAGUAAUAUAUCGGAACGUGCCCAGUCGUGGGGGAUAACGUAGCGAAAGCUACGCUAAUACCGCAUACGAUCUACGGAUGAAAGCGGGGGAUCGCAAGACCUCGCGCGAUUGGAGCGGCCGAUAUCAGAUUAAGUAGUUGGUGAGGUAAAGGCUCACCAAGCCGACGAUCUGUAGCUGGUCUGAGAGGACGACCAGCCACACUGGGACUGAGACACGGCCCAGACUCCUACGGGAGGCAGCAGUGGGGAAUUUUGGACAAUGGACGCAAGUCUGAUCCAGCCAUUCCGCGUGCAGGACGAAGGCCUUCGGGUUGUAAACUGCUUUUGUACAGAACGAAAAGCUCUGAGUUAAUACCUCGGGGUCAUGACGGUACUGUAAGAAUAAGCACCGGCUAACUACGUGCCAGCAGCAGCCGCAG
rnacentral:rRNA from 1 species